UACAGAGGUCUCAACCGUUGUUCGGAUUCAUUGGGCGUAAAGGGUGCGUAGGCGGUCGCGCAAGUCGGAUGUGAAAUCUAGGAGCUCAACUCCUAAACUGCACUGGAUACUGCUCUGCUAGAGGACUGGAGAGGAGACUGGAAUUCACGGUGUAGCAGUGAAAUGCGUAGAUAUCGUGAGGAAGACCAGUGGCGAAGGCGGGUCUCUGGACAGUUCCUGACGCUGAGGCGCGAAGGCCAGGGGAGCAAACGGG
rnacentral:rRNA from 1 species